rnacentral:rRNA from 1 species
AAAUUGCCAUUGAAACUGUUGUUCUUGAGUUCGGUUGAGGUAGGCGGAAUGAGUAAUGUAGCGGUGAAAUGCUUAGAUAUUACUCAGAACACCGAUUGCGUAGGCAGCUUACCAAGCCGACACUGACGCUGAGGCACGAAAGCGUGGGGAUCCAACAGGAUUAGAUACCCUGGUAGUCCACGCCGUAAACGUUGAUUACUCGUUGUUGGCAAUACAUCGUCAGCGACUGAGCGAAAGCAUUAAGUAAUCCACCUGGGGAGUACGUCAGCAAUGAUGAAACUCAAAGGAAUUGACGGGGGCCCGCACAAGCGGAGGAACAUGUGGUUUAAUUCGAUGAUACGCGAGGAACCUUACCUGGGCUUAAAUGCAUAUAGACGUACUGUGAAAGCA